GAAAUGCGAUAAGUAAUGUGAAUUGCAGAAUUCAGUGAGUCAUCGAAUCUUUGAACGCACAUUGCGCUCGCCAGUAUUCUGGCGAGCAUGCCUGUUCGAGCGUCAUUUCAACCAUCAAGCUCUGCUUGCGUUGGGGAUCCGCGGCUGCCCGCGGUCCCUCAAAAACAGUGGCGGGCUCGCUAGUCACACCGAGCGUAGUAACUCUACAUCGCUAUGGUCGUGCGGCGGGUUCUUGCCGUAAAACCCCCAAUUUCUAAGGUUGACCUCGGAUCAGGUAGGAAUACCCGCUGAACUUAAGC
rnacentral:misc_RNA from 1 species